rnacentral:rRNA from 1 species
GACGAACCGUGCGAACGUUAUUCGGAAUCACUGGGCUUAAAGCGCGUGUAGGCGGGCGGGCACGUCCGUUGCUGAAAUCCCCCGGCUCAACCGGGGAACGGGCGCGGAUACGACUCUCCUUGAGGGGCGUAGGGGGACCUGGAACUUCCGGUGGAGCGGUGAAAUGCGCUGAGAUCGGAAGGAACGCCCGUGGCGAAAGCGAGGUCCUGGACGCCUACUGACGCUGAGACGCGAAAGCCAGGGGAGCGAACGGG